GAUGAACGCUGGCGGCGUGCUUAACACAUGCAAGUCGAACGAGAAGUGAAGACGGAAACCUUCGGGCGGAAGGCUUUAUUUCGAGUGGCGGACGGGUGAGUAACGCGUGGGUAACCUGCCUCAUACAGGGGGAUAACAGUUGGAAACGACUGUUAAUACCGCAUAAGACCACGGCACCGCAUGGUGCGGGGGUAAAAACUCCGGUGGUAUGAGAUGGACCCGCGUUCGAUUAGCCAGUUGGCGGGGUAACGGCCCACCAAAGCGACGAUCGAUAGCCGAUCUGAGAGGAUGACCGGCCACAUUGGGACUGAGACACGGCCCAAACUCCUACGGGAGGCAGCAGUGGGGAAUAUUGCACAAUGGGGGAAACCCUGAUGCAGCGACGCCGCGUGAGUGAAGAAGUAUUUCGGUAUGUAAAGCUCUAUCAGCAGGGAAGAAAAUGACGGUACCUGAGUAAGAAGCCCCGGCUAACUACGU
rnacentral:rRNA from 1 species